GUGGGGAAUAUUGCACAAUGGGGGAAACCCUGAUGCAGCGACGCCGCGUGAGCGAAGAAGUAUUUCGGUAUGUAAAGCUCUAUCAGCAGGGAAGAAAAUGACGGUACCUGACUAAGAAGCACCGGCUAAAUACGUGCCAGCAGCCGCGGUAAUACGUAUGGUGCAAGCGUUAUCCGGAUUUACUGGGUGUAAAGGGAGCGUAGACGGUUGUGUAAGUCUGAUGUGAAAGCCCGGGGCUCAACCCCGGGACUGCAUUGGAAACUAUGUAACUAGAGUGUCGGAGAGGUAAGCGGAAUUCCUAGUGUAGCGGUGAAAUGCGUAGAUAUUAGGAGGAACACCAGUGGCGAAGGCGGCUUACUGGACGAUCACUGACGUUGAGGCUCGAAAGCGUGGGGAGCAAACAGGAUUAGAAACCCCAGUAGUCC
rnacentral:rRNA from 1 species